CACGUAGGGCGCAAGCGUUGUCCGGAAUUAUUGGCGUAAAGAGCUCGUAGGCGGUCUGUUGCGUCUGCUGUGAAAACCCGGGGCUUAACCCCUGGCUUGCAGUGGAUACGGACAGACUAGAGGUAGGUAGGGGAGAAUGGAAUUCCCGGUGUAGCGGUGAAAUGCGCAGAUAUCAGGAGGAACACCGGUGGCGAAGGCGGGUCUCUGGGACGGUACUGACGCUGAGACGCGAAAGCGUGGGGAGCGAACAGG
rnacentral:rRNA from 1 species